rnacentral:lncRNA from 1 species
UUUUUUAGGGUGGUAAAUUUGCCCAAUCUAAGAAAGGGAAGAGGAACCAGUACAAUCAAGGUCCAUUCUGAAUUCCAGCAGAAGAAUCGGGCAGAGGCUUUAGUGUUCAUAGCUGCAUUACUAUUGUAUUUCUUCAAUUCUAAGAUGCACAUUUUGUGGCAUUGUAAUGUUUCUAAAAUUGGGAUUGCAUCUUCUAAUCAAUGUACAAUUUAAUAUAGGAGGUUUUACCUCCUAGAAACAUCUUAUUAAAACAAAGAUAUGUCUUAAACUUGAUUGUGUCCCAGAAUCGAGGAAAUAAAGUAAUUAUGCUGCUGCCAUAGCAGACAUGACAGUUUUAAGACAAGAAUAGGUAAGCAACUAGGGAGUAGAGGCCAGGCCUUAGCAAAGCCACCAUGAUGGUCAUAACCUUAAAAGAUCAUGAGUUUUCUAUUAAUAGCUUCAUUGCCCCCAAGCCUCUGAAGCCUGUGGAUACAAGUAAGUCAAACUGCUUGGGCCCCACAUUUUGCUGGUUCUAAACCCUCAGUGCCGAAGCUUCAAGACUUCAGCCCCCGACCCCAGGUCUCCCCAGUGACUUCUGGGAAUCCUCUAUGCUCAGGGCCAGCCCUUCCAUUUGCUUCAGCUCUGUCCUUUCUGCAGAUGCCCUCUCUGUUCCCAGUGUAUCUCCUGGUACUAAAAAUCUGUGCAUCCUCCAGAUGUAAUUUCUUGCUAAAUCUUCAUGCUGAGUUAAG